rnacentral:rRNA from 1 species
UACGUAGGUGGCAAGCGUUAUCCGGAUUUACUGGGUGUAAAGGGAGCGUAGACGGAUAAGCAAGUCUGAUGUGAAAAUCCGGGGCCCAACCCCGGAAUUGCAUUGGAAACUGCAUAUCUAGAGUGUCGGAGAGGCAAGUGGAAUUCCUGGUGUAGCGGUGAAAUGCGUAGAUGUCAGGAGGAACACCAGUGGCGAAGGCGGCUUGCUGGACGAUGACUGACGUUGAGGCUCGAAAGCGUGGGGAGCAAACAGG